AUGCACGCUGACAGACUGCUUAACACAUGCAAGUCAACUUGAACUUCGGUUUGGGUGGCGGACGGGUGAGUAACGCGUAAAGAACUUGCCUCACAGAUAGGGACAACAUUUGGAAACGAAUGCUAAUACCUGAUAUUAUGAUUUUAGGGCAUCCUAGGAUUAUGAAAGCUAUAUGCGCUGUGAGAGAGCUUUGCGCCCCAUUAGCUAGUUGGAGAGGUAACGGCUCACCAAGGCGAUGAUGGGUAGCCGGCCUGAGAGGGUGAUCGGCCACAAGGGGACUGAGACACGGCCCUUACUCCUACGGGAGGCAGCAGUGGGGAAUAUUGGACAAUGGACCAAGAGUCUGAUCCAGCAAUUCUGUGUGCACGAUGAAGUUUUUCGGAAUGUAAAGUGCUUUCAGUUGGGAAGAAAAAAAUGACGGUACCAACAGAAGAAGUGACGGCUAAAUACGUG
rnacentral:rRNA from 1 species